rnacentral:SRP_RNA from 1 species
GCCAGGCGUGGUGGUGGGUACCUAUAAUCCCAGCUACUCGGGAGGCUGAGGCAGGAGAAUUGGUUGAACCUGGGAGGCAGAGGUUGCAGUGAGCUGAGAUCAUGCCACUGCACUCCAGCCUGGAUGACAGAGUGCUGGGGCGACAGGAACACGCUGCCAUGUGCAGCUAAGUUUUUGCAUUUUUGCGUGUGUGUGACAGUCUCACACCAUUGCCCAGGCUGGAGUGCAGGGGCACGAUCUCAGGUCACCGCAAGCUCUGCCUCCCGGGUUCACGCCAUUCUCCUGCCUCA